UUCUUAUCAAGAGAGGUGGAGGGAUGUGCCCUAUGAAGCCCGGCAACCGUCUAGUUAUAGAAAUGGUGCCAAUUCACAUAAAGUUGAUUACUUUAGAAGAUGAGAG
rnacentral:ncRNA from 21 species